rnacentral:rRNA from 1 species
AUUGAACGCUGGCGGCAGGCCUAACACAUGCAAGUCGAGCGGAGCGGCGGACGGGUGAGUAAUGCCUAGGAAUCUGCCUGGUAGUGGGGAUAACGUCUGGAAACGGGCGCUAAUAGCGCAUACUAUUAGCUGUGGCUUGAUCGGAUUAGCUAGUUGGUGGGGGAAAGGCUUACGAAGGCGACGAUCCGUAACUGGUCUGAGAGGAUGAUCAGUCACACUGGAACUGAGACACGGUCCAGACUCCUACGGGAGGCAGCAGUGGGGAAUAUUGGACAAUGGGCGAAAGCCUGAUCCAGCCAUGCCGCGUGUAUGAAGAAGGUCUUCGGAUUGUAAAGCACUUUAAGUUGGGAGGCGUUACCAACAGAAGAAGCACCGGCUAACUUCGUGCCAGCAGCCGCGGUAAUUC